AGUGAACGCUGGCGGCGUGCCUAACACAUGCAAGUCGAACGAAGUGGCGCGCGGGUGAGUAAUAUAUGGUUAAUCUGCUCUGUACAGGGGAACAACAGUUGGAAACUACUGCUACUACCUCCGAGUGUAGGAGGAGACUAUAUCGUAUCAGCUAGUUGGUAAGGUAAUGGAUUACCACGGCUAUGACGCGUAACUGGUCUGAGAGGAUGAGCAGUCACAUCUGAAGGGAGACACGGUCCAAACUCCUACGGGAGGGAGCAGAAAGGGAUAUUGCGCAAUGGGGGGAACCCUGAAGCAGCUACGGCGCGUGGAGGAUGAAACUUUUCGGAGCGUAAACUCAUUUUAUCAGGAAAGCGGUACCCGAUGAAUAAGCACCGGCUAACUCCGUGCCAGCAGCCGCGGUAAUAC
rnacentral:rRNA from 1 species